rnacentral:rRNA from 1 species
UACGUAGGGUCCAAGCGUUGUCCGGAUUUAUUGGGCGUAAAGAGCUCGUAGGUGGCCUGUCGCGUCGGCUGUGAAAACUCGGGGCUCAACUCCGAGCUUGCAGUCGAUACGGGCAGGUUAGAGUUCGGCAGGGGAGACUGGAAUUCCUGGUGUAGCGGUGAAAUGCGCAGAUAUCAGGAGGAACACCGGUGGCGAAGGCGGGUCUCUGGGCCGAUACUGACACUGAGGAGCGAAAGCGUGGGGAGCGAACAGG